ensembl:miRNA
GACCUGUGCGUGUACACUCAUGCCCACGUGCAUGAGUGUGCAUCCACGGGGACC